rnacentral:tRNA from 1 species
ACUUAGAUAGUUUAAUAAAAAAUUUUGAUUUGUGGUGUCAAAGAUAUAGGAGAUAUUCUAGGUU